AUUCCUGCAGCGUUCCCAACCAGACAUGCGAACUCCUAUGCCUGCCUCACAUCCCUUCAGAGGCAGAACCAUACCUGUGGAACUUAUUACACCACCACAUAUUUGAGCUGGGGUUGAUUUAUGCAGGCAUACAAUCAAUAAAUUCCUGGUGACCCAUGUGGGCAGCAAUGCCAACUCACUAGUGGACAAUAUCUCAUUCUACCAUGAUAAAAUAAACAUGAUUUAUUGGUCAGACCUGACUUCAACCAUCAUAGUCUUUUCUUGAUAAUGACACCAGGAUCAUGGCAUUUUUGUGGAUGAUAACGGUGUCGUUGUAGUAUAUGAACUUUGUGCUUGUCUAAACUUGGCUUGCAUUCGAUCUGGCCAGUGGAAAUGGCAUCAGAACCUGUAUCCACUUGAGGUUUUCUUUAUGACACCAGAACCUUACCAAACAACUUUUCCUACCACAUGUACUCUUACUAAUACUGUAAAACAUGUCCAUGGAUAAAUU
rnacentral:misc_RNA from 1 species